UUUACAGUAAAAAAAGAACACAGGCGUCCCUAUCAAAUGGCUUGCUAAGCCUACUUCUUCACACGACUAGAAGUUAGAAAACCUUACUGGGUUUUCAACUCCAAAGUCCAGAUUGGGAAUCCAGGAGAAGUCUUUGAGUGCAUCACUUGAAGAUAGUGCAACAAACCUUGCAGAGGCAAAGGCUGCUAUUCAAGGUGUAUUAAGGAAAUCAAAUGCACGGGAGAGGUCUGUACUGGGCAAACUCAAUAAAGAUUGGCAAGGAAGUAAAAUAACAAAGGAGGUCAACAGAUCCUGCAAGUUUGGGCACAAUUAAAGUUGGCAUCUCAGAAAGGAAUUGGAGACAUGUCAGGAUGAGUUUGAGAAUGAAAAGAACAUGCUUGGGGGUCAUUUGGGUGAGAAAGCAGCAGAGGAUCUAAAACAGAGAAUUAUUGAGCAUGUAAUUGGCUUGUGYACAUCCAGUUAUAUGGCAUAUUAUUUUUCAAGAUUUUAUGAUUUUAGAUAUUCAAAUUAAUUUAGUUGAC